AAUCUUCAGCAAUGGGCACAAGCCUGACGGAGCGACGCCGCGUGGGUGAAGAAUACCGAGAGGUUGUAAAACCCUUUUUUCAUAGAAGAAUAAGCCUAAGAGGUAAUGCUUGGGUGAUGACGUUAUAUGAGGAAUAAGCACCGGCCAAUUUCGUGCCAGCAACCGCGAUAACACGUAAGGUGCGAGCGUUUUUCGGAAUUAUUGGGCGUAAAGGGCUCGUAGGCGGCCUGCCAAGUCUUUCGUGAAAGACCAGGGCUCAACCCUGGGUAUGCGAGGGAAUCUGGCAAUCUGGAAUCUUGGAGGGGAUACUGGAAUUCGUAGUGUAGGGGUGAAAUCUGUUGAUAUUAGGAAGAACACCGGAGGCGAAGGCGAGUACCUGGCCAAAGAUUGACGCUGAUGAGCGAAAGCGUAGGGAGGGAACAGGAUUAGAUACCCUGGUAGUGUACCCCGUA
rnacentral:rRNA from 1 species